AGAUUAAGCCAUGCAUGUCUCAGUGCAAGCCGUCCAUUAAAAAUAUUCGCGUCGUCGUCGUCGUCGAAAGGCGGCGGCGCGCGCGCGCGAGUAUUCACGGUGAAACCGCGAAAGGCUCAUUAAAUCAGUUAUGGUUCCUUAGAUCGUGCCCACGUUACUUGGAUAACUGUGGUAAUUCUAGAGCUAAUACAUGCCGACAGAGUUCUGACCAGCGCCGCGGAGUGGGCACGUGUAUGCGCGAGACGCCGCACGCGCCCGUACGCUUGUACGCGUGUACGGUGUGGUGGUCUUCUCUGGGCCACUCGCCCGCGUGCGUACGAGCGUGCGCGGCGGUGUUGACGGCGGCCGUGUUGUGCACGCUGCGUAUCUUCGUGGAUUCGGAAGGGACGCUCUUAUUAGAUCAAAACCGGCCAAGCGGGGUCGUUGUCUUAACGUGUGUGCGUGUUUGCGCGCUGUGCGCUCGCGUGUCGGCGUUGUUCGCGCAACCCGUACUACGCACGCACGCGUGCCCACACACGUCUUCGUCCCCCGUAAGUGGCCCGCGCAAAGACUUGACGACUCUGAAUAAUUUCUAGCUGAUCGCACGGUCGAAACAUAUAUAUUCGUUCGAUAUCCGUUUAGCAUUUAAAAACGGAAGAAAGCACCGGCGACGUAUCUUUCAAAUGUCUGCCUUAUCAACUGUCGACGGUAGGUUCGACGCCUACCGUGRUGGUAACGGGUAACGGGGAAUCAGGGUUCGAUUCCGGAGAGGGAGCCUGAGAAACGGYUACCACAUCCAAGGAAGGCAGCAGGCGCGCAAAUUACCCACUCCCAGCUCGGGGAGGUAGUGACGA
rnacentral:rRNA from 1 species